rnacentral:tRNA from 1 species
GCCGAGAUGGCAGAGUGGUCAUCAGUAGAACACAAUAAUGCGCGGGCCUUGAAAGCCUGUGUCCUCCGGGACUCGUGGGUUCGAAUCCCACUCUCGGCG